UCAAACCUGAAUGUUUUACAUAUGUGAAUACAUUUUUAUAACUGACUUGUGUUAAAACGCAGCAUUACUUGUAUUAAGUAAACCAAGAAGCGCUGUAUUUCUAAGCAUCUUCUCCUGUUUCUUUCUUUGCAUGACUCUUCUGUCUACAUGGAAUGGUCUGAGUUGUCAAAAUGACAAACAUGCCUAGAGAGCGAUUAAGGGUCAGUUCUCACAUACAUCCAAAAAUAGUAUUAGUCGUUUAAUUCUGGUAAAAUACUGUAUUUCUGAACAUGUUUGUCUGUUUUUUUCUAUUGUACUACUCUUUCUAACUACAUGCCACAUCUGGACAUAUCAACACGAGAAAUACGGUAAGAAAGGUCAGCAGUAAAACACUUUUAUUAUUUACACUUUUUUACAUUUUAUAACUGACUUGUGUUAAAACGCAGCAUUACUUGUUUUGUUUUUGUUCCAACACGAACCGAUAAUUUGGGAAAAUCGCUAUGUCUGAACACGUUCUUUUAUUUCUUCCUUUGCAUGACUCUUCCGUCUGCGUGCGAUGGUUUGAGUCGUCACAAUGACAAACGUGGUUAGAAAGGUCAUGUGUGUAAAGGAAGCAGACUCGCACAGGAGGAACCGGAGAAGGCCGAGAUCCUUUCAACACGCACCACAACCACAGAGGACGCUGACGGAGACACUGGAUACAACUGGGACUUAAGGAGAAACACUAGGGAAGUAGCGAGUGCUCUUGAUGAUAGUUUGAGUGUCGCCAAUGGGGAAUAUGGUAAGACCGCAAUAAAAGACAAGAUUUGUGCAUUAAUUUGUCAAAAAAAAACUAUUCAAGUGCAAAACCACUGUAUGUCCGAAUAUGUUCUGUUUCUUUCUUUGCUUUACUCUUUCUAACUCCUUUACUUUAGCGUCACAACGGUGAAUAAGGCGAUGCAUUAAAAACGGUAACGUUAUUGUAUUUUUCUUUCUUUGCGUGACUCUUUCCAUCUACAUACCAUGGUUUGAGCUGUCAGUGACAAACAAGGUAAGAAAUAUCAUGCGACAACAUAAAAACCUAUAUUAACUGUUUAUUCUAUUUCUCGAUAUGGUCGUCCGUUUCUUUCUUUGCCUGACUGUUUUCAUCCACAUCACACGAUUUAAGCGUCACGAUGAUGAAUACGAUGAUAGAUCAGAUGACAACAUAAAAAACCUGUAUAAACUGUGUUAAAUUGCAACACGAAUCUUUAUUAUUACGAAAAACUUUUUUGGGUUUUUUCCGCAUGCAUGAUUCUUUCCAAAUGCGGUACAUGUCACAGUGGUAAAUUGUACUGUUUAUGCAACCUGUAUGUGUUUCUUCCUUCUGUCGAGCACAAACGAUACUUUAAAGGAUGCUGGUGACAGCUGAGCCUGUUUAAGCUAACUCCACCUGUAACGAAAAAGGCCGUGACACAGAGGCGAGUAAAAUAUUAAGACGGUUUAUUGACACAGAUGAGUUAUGGCAGAAACAUAGCAGGUUAUUAAGAAAUCUCCCUGAAGCUUUGGUUGUGAUUGGCGGUGGCUUGACAUUCUGCCUUGCUUAUUUU